CUUUAUUGUGGGCCCUCCUCAGUGCCAACAUUGCUUUGUCUCUCGCUGGAGAAGCCUGUGAGAAUGACGAUGGCCAAAGUGUCAGGCUCUUGGUGCAGCUGAAAAUCCUUUGAGAUGGAAGAAAUGGCUGGAACAAAGGGGCAGAGGAACAAAAAGCCCUGAACUGCUUCGCCCCUGCCUCGUAGGGUCUUUAUCAUCUUAAACCUUGGGAUUUGAACAUCUGUUCAGUCCCUGGGAUGGUGAGGCUAUAACCACAAAGCUAUAAGAGAAGACGACUAGUUUUGCAAUGGGCACAGUGGAUUGAAGAGGGGGGCGGUGCUGAGUCAGUCACGUGGUGUGUGAGGGCUCCUGUUUGUAAAUCAGGGAUUCUUGCAGCCUGCUUUUUCAGGGACAUUGGCUGCUGUCUUCUGACCCACCCUGUGUGGCUUUGGCGUCUCCUGUGACCUCCCAGUAUGGGUCUUGGCUUCAUCCUGCCUCUUUGUCUUUCUGGCCCACCACCCACGGCUUGAAUCUCAGGCUCCAACAGUUGCCUGACCCCCAGAUUCUGAUGACAGCCUACCUACUUGUUCUUCAGGCCCUCACCAGACUCACUGCCCAGACACACCACACAGGAGAACAUGAAAGGGCGAAUGAAUCUUUCAUCAUUUGAUGACCAAGUUGGCAUUCUUUUACAUUCCAGCCACCAGAGGAAGGUGUAUUUUAACACAGUUGCCCUCACGUGCUCCUUAACAGGAUUUACAUACGUUUAUUAACACAUAUGUUUCUACAAAAUCAAGUUUUGAGAACCAUUUUUACACACUGAUCUGGGACAUUUUGGGGAUAUGAAAUUAACUUCAGCACACACAGCAAGAAGAAAACCGAACAACAAAUUCUACAAACACCAAAUUUGCUGUGAAAUUUACAUUUCAGAAUCUCUCAAGAAAUAGUGCCCAGCAGCAAUUCUUACUGUUUUCACUCUUUCCCCCGUCUUCACAUUUUUAUGUUUGACAGUGCCAACAUAUUUUCUCAACAUUUAUUCUGAAAGGAAUGUACUUUGUGAAUUCCUUAAAUGCAGGAUGAUUCUGAUUUUAUUUGCCUAAUAGCUCCUCCUUAUGCGUGGGUUAGUAUAACAGAAUGCAUUUGAGACCUGCUAUACUAUUUUAAAUUAAGACAUUUCAUGUAGCACAUAGUGUUUUAAAAUGAAGAACGUUGUCUUGGAAAGCACACAGGCUAACUCCUAUUUUCUUGAUGCAAGAAAUAUUUAAAUUCUCUGUGCUUCAGUCUAUACAAUCAGUUUUCCAGGGAUGCUGUGUAUAUAAAACGAGGGAGUGUAUUAAAAGUA
rnacentral:lncRNA from 1 species